UUAAAUACAAUCAACAACUUGUCUCAAAACAAGAACAACAAUGAGGAAAGUGGAAGUUUGGAAUGACACAACAUUGUUCACCUCAAAACAGUAGUUUAACCUUUUGGGUUAGAUGAGAAGAUCGAUUCCGCUCUCAUAUCUUUGCAUUAAAGGUACCCUGUCGAGUUCCACAACUAGUGUUAUUGAGCAGUGUUUUUAUGACCUGGUUCCCAUUUUUGUUUGUGUGACACAUGCAUUACAAUGAUCUACAGUUAGCAGUAAUGUGCCAACAAAGUAAGGGAAGAGGAACGUGGAUGUAAAGUUUUCAAACAUCUGGCUUUGCGGAUGUUUUACAAAGAAGGAAAGAAAGGAUUUGUUAGAUCUCAAGAAUACAGUAGAAUGUGUUUUGUGAGUAACUCUGGAUGUAUACAGAACUUUUGUUUACAAGAAAACCUCAUGGAGUAUGGAGGUGGAGCUGGGAGGAAAUGAUCAGAGCGGCUCUGGCUAUGUGGUGGUUGCCUGGCAACCUCACUGCAAUGACCCCAGUAACUCCUGUUACGUAACUCCUAAAAGCACAAAAGUUCGGCGUGUUUGGUCCUGCCUGACUGUAGCCCCGCCACAAUGAGAGGACCUGAGGCGUGAAGUGCAAUCACGUCCAUCAACUCUUAUCAAACCUGUCACAGGGUGUCUGACGCAAGGCUGCUUU
rnacentral:lncRNA from 15 species